GUGGAUAGUGUGGAGGGCUGUCAGAGGUUACAGGAAGACACUGAUAGGAUGCAAAACUGGGCUGAGAAGUGGCAAGUGGAGUGAUAACCCAGGAUUCCACGUCCAACUAUGAGAAGUGGAAGGAACAUGCAUUUUCUGAUUCAUCUGAGGAAGCAGGCAGUGGCGUCAUCAACUGCUCUGAACCCCUCAAGCCAGAGCUGAAGUCAGUCACCCUUGAUCCCAAGGGGCUACCAGAAAAGAAUAUUUAGCUCUCAGAUUUCCAUUGUCUUGUUAAAAGAACUCGCUUAACAAGGUUAUCAUUAAGCAUUUCUAGAAGAAUAAGAAACAUGGAGUAACACAAUGCUGGAGGAACUCAGCAGGCCAGGUAUCAUGGAAAAGAGUACAGACGAUGUUUUGGGCCGAAACCUUUUGGCAGUACUCAGAAACUUGGAGUCCUUGUUUAGUCAAUCAAAGGAACUAGUUCUCCAAGUGGCUUAUUACAUCGGAUUACAUCAGCAAGUCAUCUGACCACUGAUAGUGCACUUUCAUAGAUCCAAGAUGGCACCAGUGAACCUUGGAGACGUUCUGUGGGCUGCGGACAAUAGUUAUUGAGUAUGAAUCUCAGGGUUGUACAUGGUACCUCGAUAAUAAAUUUAGUUUGAACAAGCUGGUGUCUAUGAACACCUUAUUUUUUUGUGUGAGCUAAAUCACUGAUAAUUUACUGGUAUCACCUACCUAAA